rnacentral:tRNA from 1 species
GCUUGAGAAGCUCUAUUGGUGGAGCAUGAUAUUGAAGCUAUCGUGGUGUAAGUUCAAGUCUUACCUCGAGCA